rnacentral:ncRNA from 1 species
UGAAGAAAUUAAACCAAGAACAAGUAAACGGUGGGAGUAACUAUGUCGAAUUUCUUAAGGUAUCCAAAUGCCUUGUAAUUUAACUAAUCAUGCACAUGAAUGGAUUAAAAUGAUUCCCACUAUCCCUAUCUACUAUCAAGAGAAACCACAGCCAAGGGGACGAGCUUGGAAUAAUCAGUGGGGAAAGAAGAACUUGUGGAGGUUGACUCUAGUCCAAAUUUUUUAAAUGACUUGAGAGGUGUAGAUUAAGUGGGACCCAUUUUCGGUGCAAGUGAAAUAACACUAAUUUUAACAUCAUUUUACUUAUUUUGUAGGGUGGAGAUGGGGCAUUGCCCCUGUUUUUUUGAUAAGACAUGUUUCAAGGGUUUGAUCUAGGUGGAAAACAUUUUCAGGUGGGGAGUUUUCUUGUUCCUUUAACGUUAUUUUACUUGUUCCUUGAAUGCUUGUGGAAUAAAUGAAUAUCUUACAAAUGGACGAGAAAUUUGGAAGUGGGUGAUUGGAUUCUAUACAAAGAUGAAAAAAUGAUUAGGCUUUAUGGAGUGGAAUUCAAUCCUUUCAUAUCACUUUUGUUUCUAACCCUAAUAGUAUUUCCCUUAGAAUAUGCUAGA